rnacentral:rRNA from 1 species
ACAUGGUGGAUGCCUUGGCGAUUACAGUCGAUGAAGGACGUGGUAGCCUGCGAAAAGCUACGGGGAGCUGGCAAACGAGCUUUGAUCCGUAGAUAUCCGAAUGGGGAAACCCGGCGCGCAAGCGUCACUCCCACCUGAAUAUAUAGGGUGGGUAGAGCGAACGCAGCGAACUGAAACAUCUAAGUAGCUGCAGGAAAAGAAAUCAACCGAGAUUCCCAAAAGUAGUGGCGAGCGAAAAUGGGAAGAGCCUGUAUGUGAUAGUCAACUGGUUAGUAGAACGGAAUGGAAAGUCCGGCGAUAGAGGUGAUAGCCCCGUACACGAAAACUGGUUGGUGGUACUGAGCAUACGACAAGUAGGCGGGGCACGAGAAACCCUGUCUGAACAUGGGGGACCAUCCUCCAAGGCUAAAUACUCGUAAUCGACCGAUAGUGAACCAGUACCGUGAG